GACGAACGCUGGCGGCGUGCUUAACACAUGCAAGUCGAACGAUGAAGCCGGAGCUUGCUCCGGUGGAUUAGUGGCGAACGGGUGAGUAACACGUGAGCAAUCUGCCCUUGACUCUGGGAUAACCGCGGGAAACUGUAGCUAAUACCGGAUACGACACCUUGGGGCAUCCCAGGGUGUGGAAGGAAUUUCGGUCAAGGAUGAGCUCGCGGCCUAUCAGCUAGUUGGUGAGGUAAUGGCUCACCAAGGCGACGACGGGUAGCCGGCCUGAGAGGGUGACCGGCCACACUGGAACUGAGACACGGUCCAGACUCCUACGGGAGGCAGCAGUGGGGAAUAUUGCACAAUGGGCGAAAGCCUGAUGCAGCAACGCCGCGUGAGGGAUGAAGGCCUUCGGGUUGUAAACCUCUUUUAGCAGGGAAGAAGCGAAAGUGACGGUACCUGCAGAAAAAGCACCGGCUAACUACGUGCCAGCCGCCGCAGUAA
rnacentral:rRNA from 1 species